GACGAACGCUGGCGGCGUGCCUAAUACAUGCAAGUAGAACGCUGAAGGAGGAGCUUGCUUCUCUGGAUGAGUUGCGAACGGGUGAGUAACGCGUAGGUAACCUGCCUGGUAGCGGGGGAUAACUAGUGGAAACGAUAGCUAAUACCGCAUAAGAGUAGAUGUUGCAUGACAUUUUCUUAAAAGGUGCAAUUGCGUCACUACCAGAUGGACCUGCGUUGUAUUAGCUGGUUGGUGGGGUAACGGCUCAACAAGGCGACGAUACAUAGCCGAGCUGAGAGGGUGAUCGGCCACACUGGGACUGAGACAAGGCCCAGACUCCUACGGGAGGCAGCAGGAGGGGAUCUUCGGAAAUGGACGGAAGUCUGACCGAGCAAAGCCGCGUGAGGGAAGAAGGUUUUCGGAUCGUAAAACUCUGUUGUAAGAGAAGAACGAGUGUGAGAGUGGAAAGUUCACACUGUGACGGUAUCUUACCAGAAAGAGACGGCUAACUACGUG
rnacentral:rRNA from 1 species